rnacentral:rRNA from 1 species
AUGGAGAGUAAUAGAGCUCCUGGUCCUGAUAACAUUCCAGCAGAAUUCUAUAAAGCUUGCUGGGACUUUGUGAAGGUGGAUAUCAUGCGCAUAUUUGAGGCUUUCCAUGCGGGAACAUUGGACAUGGCCCGACUGAACUAUGGGGUGCUUACGCUGAUUCCUAAAAUGGCGGGAGCUAAGAAAAUCCAAUAGUUCCAUCCUAUUUGCCUUCUUCGUUUUCCCUAUAAGCUAAUCACAAAAGUGUUGGAUAACCGUCUAGCUAUCUACGCGGAUAAACUGAUCAACCUUCACCAAAAUGCCUUCAUUAAAAACAGAAACAUCAUGGAUGGAAUUCUGUCUUUGCAUGAGGUAUUACAUCAUACCCACGUUAAGAAAAAAUAG